rnacentral:RNase_P_RNA from 1 species
CGAGUUGGCCAGACAGUUGCCGCGUACGCAAGUACGGGGAGGAAAGUCCGGGCUUCAAAGAGCAGGGUACCAGGUAACGCCUGGGCGGUGUGAACCGACGACAAGUGCAACAGAGAGGAAACCGCCAUUUUGGCUUCGGCUAAAGUGGUAAGGGUGAAAGGGUGCGGUAAGAGCGCACCGUGCGGCUAGCAAUAGUCCGUAGCAAGGUAAACUCUACCCGAAGCAAGACCAAAUAGGGUCCCGUAUGGCGCUGCUCGCGUUGGGACCGGGUAGGUCGCUUGAGCCUGUGAGCGAUUGCAGGCCUAGAUGAAUAACUGUCCUCGACAGGACCCGGCUUAUCGGCCAACUCACCUC